UAGGGAAUCUUCCACAAUGGGCGCAAGCCUGAUGGAGCAACACCGCGUGAGUGAGGAAGGGUUUCGGCUCGUAAAGCUCUGUUGUUAAAGAAGAACACGUAUGAGAGUAACUGUUCAUACGUUGACGGUAUUUAACCAGAAAGCCACGGCUAACUACGUGCCAA
rnacentral:rRNA from 1 species